rnacentral:rRNA from 1 species
AUUGAACGCUGGCGGCCGGCCUAACACGUGCAAGUCGAACGAGUGGCGGCCGGGUGAGUAAUGUACGGGAAACUGCCUGAUGGAGGGGGAUAACUCCUGGAAACGGUAGCUAAUACCGCAUACCCUCAGAUGUGCCCAGAUGGGAUUAGCGAGGUGGUGGGGUAACGGAGCACCAAGGCGACGAUCCCUAGCUGGUCUGAGCUGAUGACCAGCCACGAUGGAACUGGGACACGGUCCAGACUCCUACGGGAGUAGGCGGUGGGGAAUAUUGCACAAUGGGCGCGAGCCAGAUGGAGCCAUGCCGCGUGUAUGAAGAAGGCCUUCGGGUUGUAGAUUACUUUCAGCGGGGAGGCUUUACGCGCAGAAGAAGGACCGGCUAACUCCGUGCCAGCAGCCGCGGUAAUUC